rnacentral:lncRNA from 1 species
GUGAAGCUGCAUCAUCCAACAUAGCGAGAUGAAGUACUCAGAAAAAAUUGCAGCAAGUGCGAUUGAUAGUCAGGGAAUUGAUUUGAUUCUGAAUCUUCCGUUCUUCAGGUACUUAUUUCACACUCUCUCUGAUUGGUCAAUGUGCUAUGCAAAGUUGUUAUAUAUAAAUUUGCUUUUAUACAUGUCUGCAUCAUAAUUAAUGUUAUUCCCUUCUGAAUUAGCAAGAUUUAGACGAUAUAAACAGUAAUAGUAGUUGUCUUUUCAUUUGUUAGAAAACAUAGUGUACAGAAUCGUAGCUGUAUGCAAUGAUUCAUCAUGUAUUUUUUUUAAAUCGCAACCCGUAAUUGUUUGAUGUCGUUAAAUGUCUAUAUUGUUUUGUUUACAUUCUUAAGCUGGCCUCCAUACUAUCUGCAUUGUCCUGGUAGCCUUGGUAGGUUAUAAUACGCAGAUCGAUAAUCCCGGUUCAGUUUGAGCUUUCCAUGUAAUUUUUUACUCAAAUAUUACGAUCACGACUUAACUUAAAUUAGCAGUAUAGUGUCAAUGGGCAUCAACUGAAGCUAAUAAGAUGUUGUUUACUAAAGAACAGCCCCUUGCUACUUGCACAGUAUGUGGCAAAACACCCUAAAUAUUAAAGAAAUCAUACUUGACUGUGAUUACAUUUGGUUGACGCUUACAUGUAUUUCCCAUCAGUAGACCAAGUGGGUAAUCUUCUAUCUCAAGUCCAAGCUUUCAAUGCAUUUUUCUCUUUUUUUCAUGUCUCAGUGAUGAUCUGCAGGGCCGAAUUAUGCCACUGUUGAUGGUGCACAGGUCUGUUGCAUGGUAAACCCAGUAUUGGCCGUCCUUUCAAGCUCCUUUGUUCAUCCUAGAGAAAAAACUGGAAAAACUAUCUUUUAAUCUUUCUAUAGUGCAUUGCUAUGAUUACAUAUAUGGAUACAUCAUUUCGAUGUGUCUAGAGACCUAAAGCCUUUUAAGAGUUAACUGCCAAACUGGGGAGUGAUGUCAUAAUUGGAGAUGGGCUUCGUUCAGUUAUUCUUUUUGGGCCUAGAACGAUGAUGUUUGCAGAUGGGCUUUAUUCUGUCAUAAGAGCUUAUCGAUCCAGCAUGCAUAGUUUUGUUUCUUCAGUGUUCUGUGUCUGAGAAAAACAUAUGUUGUUUCCUAUUUGUUUAUGGUCGAGAUGGACGGAUUUUUGUUGUGUGGGCUGGAGGUGGAUUUCUGUUGUGUGGGCUGAAGGUUCUUGAGGUAGGGCACCAGCACCAGCUAAGCUUUCAUUCUGGUGAAAUGUAUGACAUGAUUGAUGAGCAUGCAUAUCUAUAUGGUUUUGUGGACACUGAUUUGGUUCCAUGCCAGUUUAUUUCCUGCAGUUGGUGUGUUUCUUUAUAGAGAUUUUUGUCACUAAAUUAAAUUAGAAACUGAGUGUGUACUGCUUUCACCUUCAGUUUAAACAUGACAUUAUCUUAUUUGUGAAUAGAUGGAAAUUAGCAAGCAAGCUACAGUUAGUGCAUGGAUGACCAAGUUUACUUAUUACUUUAUGAAGAUGAUUCUUAAAUGGAAUUAGGAGCUAGGUCCUGCAUGUUGAUUGUGCUUCAAGGUACAGUUGUCUGUACCUUAUAAAAUUAAAGCUUUUUAUUGGUUGUGCAUCCCAGGACAAAAAUCUUGAUUCAUAGAUAGCCAAAGAAUUGAUUACUCUCUGUCGUUGUAGGGAAGAGGAUGGGAGGAGGGGAUGCGUUGCUCCACAUUUUGUUAUGCACACCUUCAUAAACUAUACUCCCUCUGUAAACUAAUACUCCCUCCGUUUCUUUUUACUCCGCGUAUAAGUUUUGGUCAAAGUCAAACUACAUAAAGUUUGACCAAAUUUAUAUUAAAAAAUAUGAACAUCUACAAUACUUAAACUGUAUAAUAUGAAAAUACAUUUCAUGGUCUGUCUGAAACUGUUGGUUUCAUAUUGUGAAUGUUGAUAUUUUUUAAUAUAAAGUUAGUCAAACUAUGCAAAGAUUGACUUUGACCAAAUCUUAUAUGCAGACUAAAAAGAAACGGAGGGAGUAUAAGAGCAUUUAGAUCACUAAAGUAGUGAUCUAAACGCUCUUAUAUUAGUUUACAGAGGGAGUACUUCUCUUAACAUAUGUUCAUUAUCCAGCAGAAGCUGUAGAUUUCAGAGUACAAUAAUUUCCUGUUUAUACAUGGGAGCAGAGCGGAGGAGGUCGAUGCAGGGUCGAGGAGGGGCACGAGCGAGGGUCAUGCCGCACGGGGGCGCGAUGGGGUGGCCGGGGAGCGUGCAGCGUCUAGCAAGAGAAGGCAGAAACCUGAGAAAAUAAGAUUAGGGAAGUCACACAUGUUUAAAUCAAGGUAGCAUACAUGUAGCCUUACUUGCUAUUUUUGCAUCAUGGAUGCUGAAGUUCCUAGAGGUAAAGCAGAAACCUGAUGUAUAGCAGUGCAAAUGUGCUGUCUGAUAGGCUUUAAAAAUUUCUUAAAGACGAAUGGUUGGACUGAUUUUUUCAAAACAUAAUAAGCACUUGUUUUCUACAGUUGGUAGCAUAUAUAUAGCUUAAGGAGAUUUCAUGUAAUAUACAUCUAAGUUGAAACUUCGGGAUCAUCUUAUAGCCGUUCACUUCUCUCUUUUUUAUUUUGUCUCAUUCCUUCAUUUAAGCAUAAGUUCAGUUUCAUUUGCUCAAGUUAGCUGCCAGUUGAACUUAUAGUUUCUUGCCUUAUAGUGUUUAUUGCAUAAUCCUUUUUUUUCUUCUCUUUUGAAAGCAAGGACCAGGCCACGAACAUAUGUUUAUAAUGCAGUUCUUUCACUGCGUACUGCAUAGUAUCUUAGCUAGGUCUCUCUGGGCAAGUGUAGUUUGCCUGCAGGUAUGACAUGUGUUUGAAUAUAAUCCUUUUCUUGCUUCUCUUUUCAAAGCAAGGACCAGGCUGGCAGGCUGGGAACAUAUUAUAAUGAAAUUCUUUCAUUGUAGACUGCAUAGUAUCUUAGCUAGGUCUCUCCAGCAUGCUACCAAAAAAGGAAUGCUAUUGCUUAUGUUCUCUGAUCAACUGUACCUUGAAUCCUCAAUUUUGUAAUUCUCUAAAGAAUCAUCCAGCACAAACUCUGUUCUUUGAAGAAUUGUACCUGGAUAUUCUGAAGCUUGUGCACUGAUAUUUGUUGUUCAUUUUGCGCUGGAGCUGUGCAACUCUCCUUUAGUUUUUUGAGGUGUCAACAAACUGAAAAUAGUUGCUUCUCACUUCGGAUCGUGUCAUGACUCGUGAGCUCAGAGACAUUAAGCACUGUUAGUUAGAUGUUCCAGUUUAUGUGUAGAGGAAGCUACACGGUGGCUCACGAGUUAGAUGCACUAGCUUAAUCAUUACUCCCUCCGUUCCAAAAUAGAUGACCCAACUUUAUACUAAAGUUAGUACGAAGUUGAGUCAUCUAUUUUGGAACGGAGGGAGUAGGUCUUAGUGAUGUAAUGAUGCUUGGAUAGACUUUAGUAAUGUACUCCCUCCGUCCCAAUAUUCUUGUCUUAGACUUGUCUAGGUACGGAUGUAUCUAAUACUAAAACGUGACUUGAUACAUCCGUAUUUAGACAAAUGUAAGACAAGAAUUUUGGGACGGAGGGAGUAUUAAUUAUAUACCCGUGGAUUACAUCAGAAAUUAAAAGAGUUGCAUGUGAAUAUGCUAGAAUAAGAGAAUAGGUAAAAGGCACCAUAGAGUGCUGCAACGACCAAAACAAACAAAAAUGAAGAUUACAGUGAUGGAUCUUCACAUCCCGAUAGCUAAGGAAACUAACCUUCACAUCCAAAUAAACAAGGGAACUUUUUCUUUUGAAAUGCAAUGUACCUCUUCCAUUACAUAGGCAGUCCAGUUAACUUCUUGGCAGUCGAUGAUGCGAAUACAAAAGUCUGGUACAUCAGUUAACCGCAUAGAGACACGGUCAUCAUCAAGAUAGCACCAAUGUCGUGGACUCGCCGUUGCGUUGGGCUAUGGCACUGUCGUCCGGUCCCGUUACAUGGGGCAGUGCUGAGGCCGCUGGCUUGCCGUCGCAUCAGGGCAGCACCAUGUCAGCACGGUCGCCGGUGCAUGGUGCGGCACCCGCCAUCGCGUGGGGGCCGUGCCUGGUCGCUGUUUGAUUCACCACAAGUGCUCUUUAGGUUACCAAGGGGUUUUUAAUUGAGCAUUCAACUCCGCCUUCGUCAGUAUAAAAAAAUCAUGGAGGUUUGGUGUCUUCUUUAUUACCUGGGUGCAUUAUGUACUAUGCAUGGUACUAACUGUGAGUAUUGUUGUCAGUCAAUAUGCAUUCGUCUACUUUGGAUCUUUUUUUUCUUACUUUAUACUUGCUUUGCUAUUUGUCGUGCAUGCACAUGAUUUGGAUUGAUCUACUUAGAAGCAUGAGUUUAUGAAAAUCGAUAUCUACCAGGAUUGCUCUGCUCCUGUUGACAUGCGAUGCCAAUUGUGACAUGACAGAUUUGUCUGAAGUGGAACGGAUGGUCGUCACCUUUGACUAAGCUGCUAAGCCCAAGAAAUGUGACAGACUGGUGGCCUAGCUGUUCAACUUCUCAACACGGUUCAAUUUUGUCUUUGGUCAUCCUUGCAUACACUCGGCAGAGAAGUAUCUAUACUGAAUUUCUGCUCUAGGUAGUUUAUACUCAUAUAAUUUAUCUCUAAUACGCAGUCCGAAUCAUUAGUGCUAGAUCGACAAUUUUUAAGCCCUAUUUGUGGAAGUGCAUUGCAUGUGUAACUAAACUGGGCUCGACCAAUCUUGAGGUUUACCAUGAAUUUUUAUAAAAUGGUCCGUAAGCAAGGCAUGGGGCAAUCACGAAUAGCUCAUAUAUUGAGGGUAUGUGCCCCUUGUGCUAUAUUUGUAGCAGGUUGUACUCAGCAUAAAUUGUGAGGUUUGAUUUGGCAGAGAAGGACCGAGAUAGUCUGGUCUUACCUACAUAUAGGAGUCGUUAUUGAGGACUGAGCAUCGAGCGUGAUUCUGUUUCCAGUCCAUGUAGAUUAGCCAUUUGACGACUUAGCUAGAAACUUUAUAGGUUUUUAGUAUAUAUAUCUUCAGUUAUGUUGUCAUGCUGUAACAUGAAUUAAUAGAAAAUAACCAUGUAGUAUCUUUUUUUUAUACGAGUAAAGUGUGUACAAUAAAUUUGCAAAAAUGGUCCAUCAACUAGCUGAAUAAAGAAACACUCUAUGGGAAAGGCGGACAAGCACACUAAAGCACACAAGUCGUAGUAAUUCCAAAGUAUUUUUAUAACUGCGUUUUAGUAGACUAUGUCAUGAUUUGCUUUUUCUGAACCUUGAUAACAUUAUCCUGGAUUUGAGACAACAGUCUACAAAUUUUUCCCUUUAUUUUUUAUCAUUGUGAAGACCAAAUCUACAAAAUCAACCAGUUGUGAAUUCAUCAAGUACGAGACCUCUGUCUAUAUCAUUUCUGCAGGUCAAACAUGAAAGGAUGCCGGCUGAUUGCUUUUCCAAAACUGAUGUUUCAUGUCUUGAAACUUUCCCCAUUUUUGUUUUCAGAGGACAAAUGAUAUCUCGGAUUAGUUAGCUUCUUUUUACAGUUCCUAUCCAUUGAACUAUAUGCAAUUUUCAGCUAGACCUCUUUUUUACAGUUCCUAUCCAUUGAACUAUAUGCAGUGUCAGCCCACUGUAAAUCUCUGUUAAGUGCUCCUUUCUCUUUACCUUUUUACUCCCGUGUCUCUGAUUUUGAUUUCAUAAUCUAUGUUUUUAGCUAGGCACCAUGUUUGCGGAUUUCAUAAAGAAGGGUAGAUGAAGAAGCUAUCAGAAGAUUUUGUUGAAUGAAACUUGCAUUAUGAUGUUACGAGUGUAGAAAUAUAUUCUGCAUUUUUAGGAAAUUAGAUAAUAGGACCGGCGAAGGCUAGCCAACUUGCCUCCAGAGGGCUCCCUCGCGCGCAGCCCUUUGUGGCCGUCUGAUCUGGCCUUCGGCGCGUCUGGAUCGUUGGAUAUUCCCCUUACGGUCAAAUAUUUUUCACCUCACGGGUGUUUUUCGUGUCCAAUGAAGGGUGGAAUCGCCUCGAGCUCGCAUUGGCAGGGUCACUCUCGCGCAUGUGCGGGACGUUUUUGCCCAAUCCGCUGCUCACGCACCGCAUUGACCUCCUUGCCCAAUCCCCUCGUGCCGCACCAGCUGAACCUUAGCCCCUUUCCACGAUCCCCACAGCAGCCACACCCUCUCCUCGCUCGCAGCCGCCUCCUCUCCUUUCCCCCACGCCGCCGGCCUUGUCUUUUCAUUUCUUAUGUGAAAUAAAUCAUCAGUGGCAUUCUUGGUUUCCCAUAUUGUUUUUGGUUAUAGAUUUAAAGUGACCUUUUCUGUUUUUUGCAAACCAGAGGGGUUGUUCCAAUUAUAAAUGUAUUGCAACUUCUUUUGGCUGCUAUAAAAUGCCUGGUUGCUCAAUAUAGUAGAUGCAUGUGAGACUACACAUUGUUGCAAUAUUAGUUCUUAACUUCAUGAGCAAUGAAUAUAACAUUUUACCGGAGAUCAUACAAAUGUGAUUGACAUUAUGGUGUUUACAACACGACAUGUCACCUCAAUGCCAUUUGUGAAGAACAAGUAUGUGGCUCGGGAGGGCCUGGGUUGACGGAUGCUGUCAUCAGGAGUGGCCACAUUGUUGGGUCCUCAACAAUUUUGACUGAAGAUUCCUGGACUUUAUCAUUGUGAAAUCAUGUGAGCAGAGGUGUUCCAGGAAUUCUUUGGGAAGACGUGUGUAUAUAUGCCAUGUGUCCCACUAUCAUUUUUUGUCUUUGUGAGUUGCUGAAAAGAUCUUAGUCAUUUCAACUCAGAUGAAGUUGUUAGGAUGAUUAGGUCGCAGCUUAUGCAAAAUGUAUUGUGACAGAUUUAGAUAAAUUCUGGAGGGGUGAAACCUUUGAAGUCAUAGCUAACAUGGCUCUAUGUUACUCCGAUAAGGUAACAAGCUAUGCAUGCUUAAAUAUAUGUUUUCAAAGAUAAAUUGUCCUUCAUUUUUCGCCUUAAAGGCUU